UAUAUAUAUAUAUAUAUAUAUAUAUAUAAAAAUUUUUAAUAAUGUUUUAACAACAUAGGAAAAUGAAAACCUCAAAACCCUUAACUUACCUCUUACUCACUUACUUCUCUGUAGGAAUGAAUUCCCGCCGCUAGGUGUCUCACGCGCAGCCGUUUUCACGAGAAUUCAGCUUCAGUUCUCAGUCGAGUUCUCGCGAGAAUUCGGCUCCGUUCAUCUACGUGGUCCUUGCCCACGCUGUGCAAUCAAUGUUGUUUGAAAAUGUUUUUAUUUAAUCAUUUUAUUCAAUGCUUCAUGAUACUCAACACCUAUCAUGGAGAUUUGGCAUAUUAAUUUAUUGCCAUCAUUACUAGCUUAAUGAUUCUGGCGUUAGCGAUGGAUUGAAGUAUGUACAACCCAACGCACGGCGGCAGCUAAUUCUGUGCCGUUUCUCAUCGCUCCAUGUUUACGUACGUACAUAGUCACUGACACGAGCCAGGUAAUAGCAAAAAUGUGCCUGUAAACUAAGUACUGCUAAUUAUACACACGCACACAAAAAGGUUGCCAGCCAAAACGUUAGCAUGAUAAGCUUGUUGUUGUCAGUUAUUGUUGGUUACAGAAAAGAUCCCACCUUGUUUUCUAGAAAUCAAUGUAAAGGUUAAAAAUAAUGGAGUAAACCUUCCAAUUUUUGCAGAAAGAGAAUGAAACCACGAAGACCAGAACAGAGGACUCAGCAGCAGAAUUAGACAGAGGGAUAUGUUGAAGUGGUGAGGCUGAAUUUUUUACAGUUUAAGGAGACAUUUUAGAAGAAUUGAAAUACUUGACACGUUACCAUGAACCAAUACUAAGGUGAAGUUUUGAUGUAUGAUUAUAUGUACGCCAGACAUUGUGCAGAUUUAUUAGGCCAGCAGGUGUUAUUGUGCAGAAGACCUCUUUAUCAGGAAGCGGUCCAAUAACAAUGAAGACCACUUCAGGGCUCACCUGGGCAGGACUAGAGGACCAAGAUACAGACAGUAGCAGAGCAGGAGACCAGUAUACUGCAGGAUAGCAGAUGUUGGAACUCUAUUUCAUGGACAUCAUGAAACGGUCCAAUGAUAAUAUGAGGAAAGGAACAUAUGUCAGAUGCCACACAGCAAGAAACAGCCACUUCCAGGUUGGAAUGUGAUGCGAUGAGACAUAGCAAGAUAGCAACAGCUGCAGCAACCACAGGUGCAUGUGUCUUGUCUCCUCCUCGUCCUCUGGAGUAUUGUCUGCAGCUGGAUUGAGCUCAGUCCAACUCAUCCUUACUAAGUCACAAUUACAUGUGUAGUAUGACCGGUUUUUGUCCGCUGCAGAACUUUCAAGAGUUGAAGCUGCACAAAAGGAGUCAGGAUCAGUUUGGUUGAGCUGUAGUUGCCUUUUUCUAAGAUGAGCUGAUGUAAACUUGUGCAGGUUAGUAGCUUACUAAGUGUUCCACCACGGGUCCUCCUUGGCUGGAUGUGUAAGUUUUUCUAGUGCCUAAAACAUGAAGAAUGUAUCAGUGUUUAUGUUGGUUUGUGUAAUAUGUAGUACAUGGUACCGAAUACUUAUGUUCAAAUAAAAUGAUGGUACAGAAUAAUUUAGAAAAAACUCUAUCUUAAAUUAAAAGAAUAAAGGACGUAGGUCUUUGGCCUGUGCAUUUACCUGGGUGGGUUUGGGUGUGGGUUGAUCCUGUGCAAAAGCUGCUAAAAAUGACUAAAUCGAAACAUCAGAAGACUUCACGCGACUAAGAGACUCCUCCUGCCAGUGAUCUGGGAUAUCCUCACAGUAGGAGAAAAGCUCUUCCUCUGCUGUGAGUCUUUCUCUUCACUGAGACCAUCGAUCCUGAUCAGAAUAAUGUCAUCAAUACUCCCAAAACAUCUGGGUGUGAAACUGCACUGGCCAGGAGGAGACUGGACCUGCAGCACAUUUAAAGACCAGUUCCACGUUCAUGCCUGCACGACACCAUCUGAGCUCUCAGAAAGAGAAACCUGUGCUGAGUCUUGGAUCAGAGGCCAAGCAUGCUGCUGUUGAGGACCAGCCAUCGUUUCUGGACUAACUUCGUCUCAUCUGUUCAGCUAAAGGCCUU